rnacentral:rRNA from 1 species
CUUGUUGGUGAGGUAAUGGCUCACCAAGGCGACGAUCAGUAGCGGGUCUGAGAGGAUGAUCCGUCACACUGGAACUGAGACACGGUCCAGACUCCUACGGGAGGCAGCAGUGGGGAAUUUUGGACAAUGGGGGCAACCCUGAUCCAGCCAUUCCGCGUGAGUGAAGAAGGCCUUCGGGUUGUAAAGCUCUUUCAGCCGGAACGAAACGGUACAUCUUAAUACGGUGUGCUAAUGGCGGUACCGGCAGAAGAAGCACCGGCUAACUACGUGCCAGCAGCCGCGGUAAUACGUAGGGUGCGAGCGUUAAUCGGAAUUACUGGGCGUAAAGCGUGCGCAGGCGGAUUGUUAAGCAAGAUGUGAAAUCCCCGGGCUUAACCUGGGAAUGGCAUUUUGAGCUGGCAGUCUAGAGUGUGUCAGAGGGGGGUGGAAUUCCACGUGUAGCAGUGAAAUGCGUAGAUAUGUGGAGGAACACCAAUGGCGAAGGCAGCCCCCUGGGAUAACACUGACGCUCAUGUACGAAAGCGUGGGUAGCAAACAGGAUUAGAUACCCUGGUAGUCCACGCCCUAAACGAUGUCAACUGGUUGUUGGGGGAGUGAAAUCCCUUAGUAACGAAGCUAACGCGUGAAGUUGACCGCCUGGGGAGUACGGUCGCAAGAUUAAAACUCAAAGGAAUUGACGGGGACCCGCACAAGCGGUGGAUGAUGUGGAUUAAUUCGAUGCAACGCGAAAAACCUUACCUACCCUUGACAUGUCCAGAAUCCUGCAGAGAUGCGGGAGUGCCCGAAAGGGAAUUGGAACACAGGUGCUGCAUGGCUGUCGUCAGCUCGUGUCGUGAGAUGUUGGGUUAAGUCCCGCAACGAGCGCAACCCUUAUCAUUAGUUGCUACGCAAGGGCACUCUAAUGAGACUGCCGGUGACAAACCGGAGGAAGGUGGGGAUGACGUCAAGUCCUCAUGGCCCUUAUGGGUAGGGCUUCACACGUCAUACAAUGGUCGGUACAGAGGGUUGCCAAGCCGCGAGGUGGAGCCAAUCCCAGAAAGCCGAUCGUAGUCCGGAUUGUUCUCUGCAACUCGAGAGCAUGAAGUCGGAAUCGCUAGUAAUCGCGGAUCAGCAUGUCGCGGUGAAUACGUUCCCGGGUCUUGUACACACCGCCCGUCACACCAUGGGAGUGGAAUCUGCCAGAAGUAGGUAGCCUAACCGCAAGGAGGGCGCUUACCACGGUGGGUUUCAUGACUGGGGUGAAGUCGUAACAAGGUA